UGUAGUAUUGUUCCUUUCAUUUCACCUGUUUGUGGAGGUUGAACUAAGAUAAAAAAGAUUUUUUCGGCCGAAAUCACAGAUGAGAUUCGGAAAAAAUGUGGCAACACUGUCAGGACCUAUCGUGGCGCUGACCAGGGUUGAAAAAGUCAUCCUCAUUCUACUGACAAUCUACGGAAUUGAGACAACAUCAAUUUCAUUCACCCAUGCUUUACAACACAUUGCAAAUGAACUAAUUUCAUCUUCAUGAUUCUAGCACUGCUUCAUUUUCAUAUUUUUCAUUUCUAUUUCUUGCCCACACUCAUUCGUAAUCGGCCUCACUGAAAAUGAACCAGCAAUUUGUCAUAUUCAUUCAGUUGCAAGCACAGGUAACAAAAACAAAAGUUCAGUCCAAAGAAUUUCAUUCAAAUGACAACAACAACAGUGUUUUGAUUCGGUUCGGUUGUUUGAUAAUUUAUUUUGGCUUCCUCGAAUUGAUUCAAUUAAAAAUUUGUGCUUAUCGGCUCCGCCAUCGUUUUCGAAGCAGUUACAAUAUUAAAGUGCUUCCCUGCCCGAAACGACGCUGCUCGGAUGCAAAGAGGACUCCUCAGCCAGUGAGCAGCUUCAGCAAACUCCUUAUGAUCAGUACCAAGACGGGUACCCAUCCCACGGCUUUCUAAACGGAGUCCCAACUAUGGCCAACCAACUGCACCAACAGCUCUAACUAGCUCCAGCCCACAUCGUCAGCCGCCGCAGUCCCGUUCCGACAGUGGAAACGAACAGGAAUUUUUCACCUCGACGUGUAGCACCGAAUCUUUCGCUUCGUCCCCCGGGAGUGACAUCCAGCGACACCUGCAGUCAAUUUUCUACCUACUCCGGCCGGAGAAAACACCCAAAAUGACCGUCAAACUUAAAUCGUUACGCACUGGUCGCACACGGUAUCUGAUGGUCGUAUCCCGGCUGGACCAAACGAAUCCUCCAUCAGAAUCAAGUGUCUUCGUUAGCUUCGGUGCCACUGGCGACGAAUGUGAAGUGAAGGUAGCAUGAAAGUGUGUAGUAACGGUUCCAGCGGAUUUAUCAAUAAGGCCACCACGACGAGUGGCGUUGGUAUGUGCCAAAGAUUGGGGAAAAGUUCGGUAGGUGAGAGUGUUCGUCAUGAAACGAGUAAUGAACGGAUCAGAUGGUCAGCAUACACUGCAUAUUAGCAUUUGAAAAGUGUCAUCUGCCAUCACUUAACGCUAGUUCAGAAAUUCAAUCUUCACCUGCCACCUUAAAAUAUAUUUAAAAGCGUGGGGUUUGUAGUCUGCACAAAGCAAGACUUCCCACUUGCUGCAAUAAAAAAAAGUUUAACUCGUUUUUUUGUAAAGUUUACUGUACUUAUAACAUUUUUAUAAACUGUGAUGUGAAUAUACAAAUAAAUACAUGUAGUCAUCCAUUUAUACCAUGUAUAUUAUUCGAAAUACUUUACCAACCCAUCUACCGCACCAUUAGCAUGGUUUACUGUUACUGAUAGUGACAAACAGAGUAGUAAUCUGAGAUCAGUGUUUCUAUCUAGGUGAUUGUGGGGAUUAUCAGGCACUCAGAGUGGAUAGUGUUCCUGGCUGACUAUACGUCUCGUAUUUAACGGUACCGUUUUUCAGAUCCCGGCGGACUAUUCCCCGUUUUAACAUAAAUUUUUAGUUGUCCCGUAUUUUCAAACAUGAUGAAUUUAAGGUACAGUGGGGUAAGUGGAUACAGUGAAAUCAAUAGUGAACUUCAUAUUUAUGUUCAGAUAACAUAAAUAAUGUAAUUGUUACUUUAUACUGUGGAUAAAAAAUGAGGGACUAAUACAUUUCUGAUCGUUAUUUGUUUCGAUUUUUCUGCUUUUUAUAUAUUGAGUAUGAAGGACUUGAAAAUUUGCGACAAAUGACCCACUUGACCCACUUGGACACAGGGUUUUCUUUUUGAUUAGUUUCAGAAAAGUCUACUGUCAAAACCCAAGCUAAUGGAAAUCAUGGAAUUGCUCAAACAGUAUUUUCCCUAAUUUGAAUUUCAUAAAAAUGUUCAAUGUUUGUGCAUUAUUCGUCUUGUUUUAUCUUAUAUAUUACCAUAUAAUUGACUUAACCAAAAAACAUAACCAUUAGGGUGUCUCAUAAUUACAAUUUGUCAGAUAAUUUGAGGGUGCAAUGACAGUUUAGAAUGUUACAAUAAAACUUUUGUACGAGGGAGGAACUCUAAGAAAUGACUUUUAGAGGUUGCCAUGUUGAGAUUUUUAUAAAAAGUUCGAUUUUUGUAAGAUAUGUCAGUGAAAUAUUUCCAGUUCAGCAAAAUUUCGUAAAACCCACGGUUUUUUAUUAUUUUUCCAGCUCCCUUGAGGUCUAUCUGGGUAAAAUCAUUCAC
rnacentral:lncRNA from 1 species